rnacentral:rRNA from 1 species
AUUGAACGCUAGCGGGAUGCCUUACACAUGCAAGUCGAACGGAGUGGCGACCGGGUGAGUAAUGUAUCGGAACGUGCCCAGUAGCGGGGGAUAAAGACGAGAAAGCGGAGCUAAUACAGCAAACACUUGGAGCGGGCGAUAUCGGAUUAGAUAGUGGGGGGGGUAACGGCUCACCAAGGCGACGAUCCGUAGCUGGUUUGAGAGGACGACCAGCCACACUGGGACUGAGACACGGCCCAGACUCCUACGGGAGGUAGCAGUGGGGAAGUUUGGACAAUGGGCGAAACCCUGAUCCAGCCAUCCCGCGUGUGCGAUGAAGGCCUUCGGGUUGUAAAGCACUUUUGGCAGGAAAGCGGUACCUGCAGAAUAAGCACCGGCUAACUACGUGCCAGCAGCCGCGGUAAUAC